rnacentral:rRNA from 1 species
UACAGAGGGGGCAAGCGUUAUUCGGAAUUAUUGGGCGUAAAGGGCGCGUAGGCGGCUUGGCAAGUGGAAGGUGAAAUCCCUCGGCUUAACCGAGGAACUGCCCUCCAAACUGCUUUGCUUGAGGCCGGGAGAGGCGAGUGGAAUUCCCAGUGUAGCGGAGAAAUGCGUAGAUAUUGGGAGGAACACCAGUGGCGAAGGCGGCUCGCUGGACCGGUUCUGACGCUGAUGCGCGAAAGCGUGGGGAGCAAACGGG